CCAAAUUUUUUUAAAAAAAAACUUUGAUGCCAUAGUAUGCCAGAUCCGUCACAAAUAUAAGAAAUUCACUAUUUAUACGGACAGAGUCUCUCCUGUAUUUGUACGGCGUCGCACAAGUACAAGAUACUGUUGAAACUUUAUAAGAAACUAAGAUCGUACCUUCUGUCAUGAUUUCGAUUUCAAAACCUGAAUGGUUGACGGCGAUCCUUGCUUGUGGUUCGUCCUCGUUCGCGAUUUGCAAAAAGACAGGACGUUUCGAGUCUAAUUCUCUUAUCCCCGGAGAUAGAGCCGUCGUAAACAAUUGAAUUAGUGUUAGACCGAGACUCCUAUAUGUUAUAUAUUUAUAUAUAACUUAAUGUAAUAAUGUUAAAUCACGUCCGCCAUCAAGGACAUGUCCAGAUACAUCAUAACCGUAAGAUCUACCGUAUCUUUAUAGGUGAACUUAAAUAGAUUGACUGUAUUUUUAUGGAUCGCCUUAAAUAUAUCAGUGGGGCACAUCCAACAUUCUCCCACUUGGCCUAAAAAUAUAUUCAUUACCGUAUAGGGGAUACAAAACUUUAUUAGGUACCAACUAAGUUAUACAGUCAAAAUCUCCCACUCGACUAAGAAAUCACAAUACUUUGAUCAUACCGGUUAUGCCCCAAAAUAUUAACACUUCCUUCCAUGUAUCAAAAACACGAAUUCCUUAAUCAAAUAACUUUAUGAGUUACAACCGUAUGAACUUAUUAUAAGUUCAACUCAAAGUCCCACUUUAGUGCACAAUAAUAUUUUAAUGUACAAAA
rnacentral:lncRNA from 1 species